CAUCGCUAAACUUAGCCCAUGUUUCAGGGACUGAGACUCUGCAAGGGGGGCUGCUGUGCAUUUUACCAGCUUUAUAACGGACAGAAGCUGAACAGGUUUCCAAGCUCGAUUCAAGGUGCUGGUUUUGACCUAUAAAGCCUUACACGGCUUGGGACCACAAUACCUGAUGGAACGCCUCUCCCGAUACGAACCCACCCGUACACUAUGUUCAAGAUCAAAGGCCCUCCUCCGGGUGCCUACUCAGAGAGAAGCUCGGAGGGUGGCAACAAAGGAGAGGGCCUUCUCAGUGGUGGCCCCCAAAUUAUGGAAUGAUCUUCCUGACAAGGUGUGCCUGGCGCCAACACUCUUAUCUUUUCAGUGCCAGGACAAGACUUUCCUCUUCUCCCAGGCAUUUUAGCAUGUAUUUUUAAAUUGUUUUUAUAUUGUUUUGAAUUUUAAAAUUGUGUUUUAAAUUGUUUUUAAAAUAUGUUUUUAAAUUGUGUAUUUGUUUUAAUGUUUUUGAUUGCUGUAAACCGCCCAGAGAGCUUCGGCUAUGGGGCGGUAUACAAAUGCAAUAAAUAAAAAUAAAUAAAUAAUAAGAUGGUCAUAUAUGUCAUGUGGUAGGGGGGAUGACUUUUCCUCCCCAGGCCUUCACAUCUCAGAGCUACUUUAGUGCCAUGACUAAACAUGUGAUCAGUGUGAGCAAGAAAGUCCUUCCUGGUUAAAAUAUUUCCGUACGUGUGGAUGUGGGUGUUAAAUAUUAAACAGUAUUUAAAACCAGAAGUUAGCAACCGCACACCUCAGCUCCAAAAUUCUAGUAGUGAGCUCAGAGGGUUUUAAAAAAAGAUCAGAAA